rnacentral:rRNA from 1 species
CACGUAGGGCGCAAGCGUUGUCCGGAAUUAUUGGGCGUAAAGAGCUCGUAGGCGGCUUGUUGCGUCAGCUGUGAAAACCCGCAGCUCAACUGUGGGCUUGCAGCUGAUACGGGCAGGCUUGAGUUCGGUAGGGGAGACUGGAAUUCCUGGUGUAGCGGUGAAAUGCGCAGAUAUCGGGAGGAACACCAGUGGCGAAGGCGACUACCUGGCCUGUUCUUGACGCUGAGGCGCGAAAGGCUAGGGGAGCAAAGCGGG